CACACCCCGGAGCCAGGUGUCGCGGCCGCGGGCACAGCUCGGUCCCGGGCUGGGGCUGGGGCCGGGGCUGGGACCGGAUGGGUCCCGGAAUGGGGCGCUCACCCAACAGCCCCAUCGCCGCCCCCCUUCAGGAUAGGCCGAGGACAAAAAUUCCCCCACACGACUGCCGGAAGUUUUUAAGGACUUAAAAAAUAAACACGCAGCCUUAAGUUGCGAAACUCGGCCCCCAAAGUGCACGGGAAACCAUCUACCGCCCCGCCGAGAGGAGAAGUUGGCAACUCCCAGAGACUCCUUAUUUAUAUUAAUUGCCUCAAGAAUAUUAAUAAAACUUCAAGGAAUUUCUGAAACUUCCUUCUGAGCACUCUAGGGAAACAAAUGGAACCAAAUAUAGCAAAAAUAGUCACUGCCCCAACUAGCACAUAACUUAAUGUGCUACUCCUGAUAUUUUGAUUGGAAACAUCUGGGCAUGGUGACACACGCCUCUAAUCUCAGCACUUGGGAAGCUGAAGAAAGAGAACUGCAAGUCUGAGUGACAGCCAGAUUGGUCUACAGAGUGAAUUCAAUGCCAGCACCUCACCUCCAAAAAGGUUUCCAGCACAGACUCUCCAGCCUUGCAACACAGACUACUCAGCCUUCCAGUGUAGGCCCUUUGGCUUUCCAAUAUGGACGCCAAUGGGACUCCGCAGUGAGCUCCAGAUCUUCCACCUGGAGUUGACUGGACUGUUCAGCUCUUCAGCAUGCAGAUGGCUCUUCUGUGUUCUCCCACACCUGACUCUGCAGGCAGCCACUGCUAAAGAACUUUGGAGUCCUGCCUAUCUGUAUGCUAGGGGAAAAUGUGAUACUGCUUCUCGAGAGAUCUAUGAGCCUGUCCUGAUUCUUGGGCCUCUGAGGGGGCUAACUUUCUAUGCAGGCAUGUAUUCUGCUGAAGCCACUCCGCUGUCUAAAGCGGUUGUCAAUUUUACCUUGUGGCUCAGCUGACUAUUACAGAUCUCCAUUUAAGAGGCAAAGCAAAAUAAGAGCUCUCCAGAAUACGUGACAAGCGAAGCUGAAGCCUAAGCCCACUGAUGCUGGUCAGUGUGGAAGCUCCACGGAAAAUGCUGUGGAGAACUGCCCGAAGGAUGAACAGUCCAGAUACAAACAGAACUGGUACGGUACUCGCCACAGAUUCACUCACCUGGGGUCAUCCUUGGGCCUCGUGCCAGUAACUUACACUAUGAUGUAUUAUGAGAAACAGACCCACGAAAUCCAAAUACUGUAAGAAUUACUGAGGAUAUUUUUCACUGUAGUACUGUUUUUAGAAGGUGGAACCUAAGAUCUUAAUAAAAUCAGAAAUCCAUAAAUUCUAGAUAAUGCUUGCCUGGGGAUGUGGCUCAGCACAACGGCCCUGGACUCAACCCCCAGAACCACAGGCAAACACACAAAAUAGAUUUUUAUUGCAAUGAUAAUCUUUUACUAUCUAGAAAAAUAAAACAUCUGUAUUAUAGUUGUAAUUCACAACUGACAGAAGUUUGCAAGACUAACACUUCAGUUUGUACUGGGGUGGAUCUUUGGAUUCUUGUUCCUAGAAAAAAAAUUUUCCCCUUAAGUGAUCCAUAUGUUAUUCAAACUUGACCAGCACUGUAUGUAUGGUAGCUGCUUCUUUUCAGGACUUCAUGAGAAAUUUUUACAUUGGUUUCCAUACCAAAACUAUCUGUCCUCUGAGCAACUAAUAUGCUUUGUCCCAUGAACACCAUGACUCAUUUAAUUCCUUAAGUUUCUUGCUUUGUAGAAAGGUCAAAACCAAAUUUGCGUUUUGUCUUUACAGAAUGUAGAGACAUUUGGAGUAUGUACUUUGCAUUCUGACUUCAUUCUUGGCUUCAUAUUAUAUUGCUUGCACUCAUCUGCCAGAUAUGUUGACUUUUUCCAAAUACUUUUUAAAAUUUAAUUUUAUCUUAUAAAUUUUAUGAAAAUUUAUAUUGUUAGAAUUUGACACCAACAUUCAAAACCAUCAAUUUUAGUCUGUGCACAAACUGUAAUAUAGUAAUGGGGUUAAUUCUUCUGAAAAUAUUUUAAAAAUAAAUUCUUAUUCAAAACUGUAUACAUUUAUGUGUAUAAAUGUUUGUUAUCAUAUCCUUGAUAAGGAUUAUUCUGAUUUGAAGAGUUAUCCAGUUAGCAGGCUUUAAAUUUUUAAAAAUUUAAAUGCUACUUAUAAAUUAAAAGAUACUGACUUAACCUGUCCAUAAAACUAUAUGACACGUCAGUAAAAAUAUAUGGAAGUUAAUUUUGUAGUUGCUUAAAAGCAGUAUGUACGAUUCUUACACUGAUUUUGGUAAAAUACACGUGAUGUGAACUCAGCAAUUUACAUUUGUCAUCUUCUUUUUCUCAUAUUUAUUUAAAAUAUAAAGACAUGUGAGAAGAA